AGAAGAGCAAAAAAAAAAAAAAUUUAGGGUGGUAGACAGUAGAGCCAAGUGAGCUCAACAGAAGGAUAUUUCAGACAGAAGAAUUGACAGCAUGUUUAUACUGUUUAUGUGAAUGAUCUACUAACAAGAAAAAGCUGAGGCUGUAGGAGACAGGGGAGAAGAACUAGAGCAUCAUUCCUGAAUAGGCAAGAGAGGAGGAGACAGGGCAUGUUGGAGAGGAGCCCAGAGAGCUCGUCUAGAGGAACAGACAGAGGCAGGACACGGGGUACUGCCACCAAUCAAGUUCACCUGUCAGAGGUCUAUCAGCUGAAAGCAGGGAGUGGACUGGGAAGUGUUCAGCACUCCAUACACGCAUGACCACCCUGGCCUGCUACGCCCUGAUCCUGUGCCUAUAAAAACCUCCGAAACCCUAGCAGACAGGCACACAAGUGGCUGGAGGUCAAGAGGAACACACUGGCAAAAGACAAAGGCAGCUGGACGGCGAGAGGACGGCAACGGGAGCAUGCUGGUGGAAGAGCACAUGAUAGACGCUGGCAUGCCAGCAGGCCACUGACCAGCGGAACGACGCAGUUUGGCCAGGGCAGUCAGAGAGCUGGGGCCGCUCCAUCUCCCUUCUGGCUCCCCCAUCUGCUGAGAGCUACUUCUACUCAGUAAAACCCUACACUCAUUCUCCAAGCCCACGUGUGAUCCCAUUCUUCCAGUACACCAAGGCAAGAACCCUGGGAUACAGAAAGCUCUCUGUCCUUGCCAUAAGGCAGGGGUCUAAUUGAGCUGGUUAAUACAAGCCAUCUAUGGAUGGCUAAACUAAAAGAGCACCCUGUGACACAUGCCCACUGGGGUUUCAGCUGUAAACAUUCACCUCUAGACACUGCUGCAGGGUUGGAGCGCCACAGCCUGCCCGUCUGUAUGCUCCCCUAGAGGUUUGAGUAGCAGGGCAAUGAAGAAGUGAGCCACUCCCACUGUUGCACGCCCUGCGAGGGGGACAAGGGAACUUUUCCCAUUUCAACAGCAACGAUUCAUGCUGAAUGAAGUAUAUAGUAUGAGUUAAUGUAACUAUCUACACAAGCCCAAGAGUUACUUAUAAACUACUUUAAAAGUUCUAUGAUUGAAGUUCCAGAACUAGAGAGAAUUAAAGCAGUAUGCAACGGAUGCUUACAAACUAACACCUCACUGACUCCAGGAUUUGUUAAGAUCUUACAGUCUCAGCUGGGUAAGGCUGUACUGAAUAAUCCUGUGGUCAAGUUGUUUUGGAGGAAAUUUUAACACGCCACAGAAAAUGAGAGAUGAGUUUGAUACCAGCAUUAGAUAAGAGUGACUAUUAUGUAUACCAGUUAUAUCCAGAACCAGAGGUGUCAUUUGGCACUACCAGGUCUACUCACCCAUCUG